CAUUAGGUGAUUUUACAAAGAGCUGGGACAAUGUGGCUGUGUUAGUUGAUGAAACACUUAUACCACAAGAGCUGUGUAGCCCGAUCCUACAGACCCCAACACACCAGAACA